rnacentral:rRNA from 1 species
UACGGGGGGAGCAAGCGUUGUUCGGAUUUACUGGGCGUAAAGGGCGCGUAGGCGGCGCAACAAGUCACUUGUGAAAUCUCCGGGCUUAACCCGGAGCGGUCAAGUGAUACUGUCGUGCUAGAGUGCGGAAGGGGCAACUGGAAUUCUCGGUGUAGCGGUGAAAUGCGUAGAUAUCGAGAGGAACACCUGCGGCGAAGGCGGGUCUCUGGGCCGAUACUGACGCUGAGGAGCGAAGACGUGGGGAGCAAACAGG